rfam:Triticum aestivum genome assembly, contig: Triticum_aestivum_CS42_TGACv1_scaffold_344065_4DL
AUAACACUUCCUUUGUCCGGAAAUACUUGUCGGAGGAAUGGAUGUACCUAGAUGUAUUUUAGUUCUAGAUACAUCAAUUUUUAUCCAUUUCUCCAACAAGCAUUUCCGGACGGAGGGAGUAUUUA